UACGUAGGGUGCAAGCGUUAAUCGGAAUUACUGGGCGUAAAGCGUGCGCAGGCGGUUCUAUAAGACAGAUGUGAAAUCCCCGGGCUCAACCUGGGAACUGCAUUUGUGACUGUAGAGCUGGAGUGCGGCAGAGGGGGAUGGAAUUCCACGUGUAGCAGUGAAAUGCGUAGAGAUGUGGAGGAACACCGAUGGCGAAGGCAGCCCCCUGGGCCAAAACUGACGCUCAGGCACGAAAGCGUGGGGAGCAAACAGG
rnacentral:rRNA from 1 species